rnacentral:rRNA from 1 species
GAACCUCUUAAAAGGAGGUUUUUAGUGGCGAACGGGUGAGUAACACGUAAGUAACCUGCCUUUAAGACGAGGAUAACAACCGGAAGGUUACUAAGACUGGAUAGGAAACAAAAAGGCAUCUUUUUGUUUUUAAAAGACCUUCUUACGAAGGUAUGCUUAAAGAGGGGCUUGCGCCACAUUAGUUAGUUGGUAGAGUAAAAGCCUACCAAGACGAUGAUGUGUAGCUGGACUGAGAGGUUGAACAGCCACAUUGGGACUGAGACACGGCCCAAACUCCUACGGGAGGCAGCAGUAGGGAAUUUUCGGCAAUGGAGGAAACUCUGACCGAGCAACGCCGCGUGAACGAUGAAGUAUUUCGGUAUGUAAAGUUCUUUUAUUGAAGAAGAAAAAGUAGUGGAAAAACUAUAUUGACGUUAUUCAAUGAAUAAGCCCCGGCUAACUAUGUGCCAGCAGCCGCGGUAAGACAUAGGGGGCGAGCGUUAUCCGGAAUUAUUGGGCGUAAAGGGUGCGUAGGCUGUUAGAUAAGUCUAUAAUUUAAUUUCAGUGCUUAACGCUGUCUUGUUAUAGAAACUGUCUUGACUAGAGUGAGAUAGAGGCAAGCGGAAUUCCAUGUGUAGCGGUAAAAUGUGUAAAUAUAUGGAGGAACACCAGAAGCGUAGGCGGCUUGCUGGGUCUUUACUGACGCUGAGGCACGAAAGCGUGGGUAGCAAACAGGAUUAGAUACCCUGGUAGUCCACGCCGUAAACGAUGAGUACUAAGUGUCGGGGUAAAACUCGGUACUGAAGUUAACACAUUAAGUACUCCGCCUGAGUAGUACGUACGCAAGUAUGAAACUUAAAGGAAUUGACGGGACUCCGCACAAGCGGUGGAUCAUGUUGUUUAAUUCGAAGAUACACGAAAAAUCUUACCAGGUCUUGACAUACUCUGCAAAGCUAUAGAAAUAUAGUGGAGGUUAUCAGGGAUACAGGUGGUGCAUGGUUGUCGUCAGUUCGUGUCGUGAGAUGUUAGGUUAAGUCCUAAAACGAACGCAACCCUUGUCGUUAAUUGCCAGCACAUAAUGGUGGGGACUUUAACGAGACUGCCAAUUAAACAUUGGAGGAAGGUGAGGAUUACGUCAAAUCAUCAUGCCCCUUAUGAUCUGGGCUACAAACGUGAUACAAUGGCUGUGACAAAGAGUAGCUGAAACGCGAGUUUUUAGCCAAUCUCAAAAAAGCAGUCUCAGUUCGGAUUGAAGUCUGUAACUCGACUUCAUGAAGUUGGAAUCGCUAGUAAUCGCGAAUCAGCAUGUCGCGGUGAAUACGUUCUCGGGGUUUGUACACACCGCCCGUCAAACCACGAAAGUUAGCAAUGCCCGAAAGCAGUAGCUUAACUUCGCAAGAAGAGGGAA